AGAGUUAGUUUAGGUUUCCUCUUGUAGUAAUACCGGAUGAAUAAAGGAAACUGUGUUCUGACUUGGACCUCUGUUUAGAACUGAUAGAGCUAUUUAUUUGAUAGAUAAAGGUAUGCCAUUGGAUGUUCGUUGGGCGGCUCUGAAAUUGUUAUGGAGGUUACUAAAUGAAAUGAAAGUGCAAAAUAUUGCUUACCAAGACGUACAAUGGGAAAUAUAUCUGGAAAAACUCAAGUCACUUUUUGCUGAUGGCUUAGUAUCCAGUAUUCACUCCAUACAAAAAUUAAAAGAACAAAUUGGCCAUCUUGUUUCUAAACUUUAAGAAUGAAAUAUUACUCUCGCUACUACACGCGUAAAAACCACGCAGCGUGUCGACAAGAUGUGUUCGCACUGCUUGUUCCCAGUUGUUGACAAGUCUCGAACAAGUUGUUAUCAUCUUGUAACAAUUGUUACCAUCUUGUUCUUGUAACAUCUUGACAAGCCUGUAUUACUGCGUCUUGUUGGAACAACUUGCAGCAAGUCUGUUACCGUUAUCAACCUUGUAGAAAGGUGAUAACAACUUGUUCCAGACUUGUCACCAGGGGCGAAACUAGCCCCUUUUAAUUCGGGAGGGGGGGGGGGUGUCUGCCAGAAUUGCCCUGCCAAAACCGAGGGUGCCCUGCAGCAAUUUUUUUUCUGGCCACUAUUUUUCUCUUUUUUUCUUUUUUUUUUCUCUUUUUUUUCUAUUUAUUUUACCAGUUAAAUAAACGGUCAAAAAUAUUUUUCCGUACAAAUUCCUGUUAAAACAUGUGUGAAACCCCCUUAUUUUUGGACCAAUAUCUGUAAAAUUUAGAUCUAUAAAUUCUAUUCAAUUCCCUCUGAAAGCCCUGUAAGUUACUUAAUAACUCUACAUUCUAUCAUUGAAACUCUUUGCCAUUGCCCUGCCAAUCCAGAUGAUUCGUUUUUAUUUUUGGGGGGGUCCCACCCCCUCCGUAACAAUUUGCGCGUUUUACGUGUGCAGUGUCGAAUUUAAUUUGUGUAGCAUAUAGCAGUAUAAUGUAUAAAAUUAUAUAAUAUAUUUUUAAUUAUCAUAUACGAAAGUUUGUAUUAAAAUAUUUUGGCGUUGUUUGUGAACAAUUUGCAAAUAUAUAUUGUAUACUAAAAUAUUUAAUUAUUCGCCGAAGGCGAGGUGAUUAUCGGGGAAUAUUUGCCGAGACGAAGUCGAGGUGAAUAUUCCCCGAUAAUCACCGAGCCUAAGGCGAAUAAUUGUUUAGUAUUUUUGUGUUUUUUGGGACUGAAAUUAUUUUAAUUUCGCUUACUUCUUUAUGAGUAUAACGUCCACAAAACGGCUAGCCGCCAUUUUGAAAAUUUCGGUUUUGUUAUAUUCACCUGUAGGUGAAUAUAACAGCUUAAUACGUCAAAUUUGACCAAUCAACUUGUAGGAUUUGUUAUGUUCACUUGGGCAAAAAUACUAAAGAUGUUUAUUUUGAUUUGAAUAUGAAACUAACUUCUGAAAACCAUACCGCUUCGGCUAUAUGGCAUCAUAGUUAAUAGAAAUAAACAUGGUUAGGAAGGCCGGUAAACUUCAAAGAAUUUCCUAUUCAAACUUCAACUGAUGUUGAAAUGUAGUUCCGAGUGCACACAUCUUUUGUCUUGCGUUUAUUAAUAUUCAAAUAUUACGGUUGAGCGAUUGAAACUAAGGUUCUUAUUGGGUAAUCGCCUUAUUAUACAGAAUCCGAGUACACAAAUUUCCAUAAACUUGGACAAAAACAUAGAACAAUGACUUUUGUCAAGCUUCCAAACCACGUUUAUUUUCUACUAACUAUGAUGGCAUUGGCAAAACUUGUUACUGACUCAUUUUUGAAAAAUUUCUGCAGAAAAUGAGAAACUUCGCCUGGUUUGUAUUUUUUGAAAGGCAGAUUGAGUGAAUAUUGUCAGUAGCUUGAUGAAAAAACUUCUAUAAUUCUACGCUAGUUUUCAGUUCCCCUCCCAAGAUAUGUGGGAAUAAUUUAGGUUUCGAAACAGUAAGAACCGGAAAUGGGACUUCAAAACAAUGACACCUUGCCUAAU